rnacentral:rRNA from 1 species
CUGUUGUUAGACGAGAAUCCAGGAUGAGAGUAAACCUGUUCAUCCUGAUCGGUAUCUAUCCAGAAAGUCAACGGGCUUACUACGUGUCCAAKCCAGYCGCGGUAAUACGUAGGUGGUCAAGGCGUGUUCCGGAUUUAUUGGGCGUAAAGCGAGCKCAGGGCGGUUUCUUAAGUCUGAUGUGAAAGCCYCYCGGCUCAAYCGGGGGAGGGUCAUUKGGAAACUGGGAGACUUGAGUGCAGAAGAGGAGAGUGGAAUUUCCAUGUGUAGCGGUGAAAUGCGUAGAUAUAUGGAGGAACAYYCAGUGGCGAAGGCGGCUCUCUGGUCUGUAACUGACGCUGAGGCUCGAAAGCGUGGGGAGCAAAUAGGAUUAGAUAYCCUGGUAGUCUACGCCGUAAACGAUGAGUGCUAAGUGUUGGAGGGUUUCCGYCCUUCAGUGCUGCAGCUAACGCAUUAAGCACUCCGCCUGGGGAGUACGACCGCAAGGUUGAAACUCAAAGGAAUUGACGGGGGCCCGCACAAGCGGUGGAGCAUGUGGUUUAAUUCGAAGCAACGCGAAGAACCUUAYCAGGUCUUGACAUCCUUUGACUACUCUAGAGAUAGAGCUUCYCCUUCGGGGGCAAAGUGACAGGUGGUGCAUGGUUGUCGUCAGCUCGUGUCGUGAGAUGUUGGGUUAAGUCCCGCAACGAGCGCAACCCUUAUUGUUAGUUGCCAUCAUUCAGUUGGGCACUCUAGCAAGACUGCCGGUGACAAACCGGAGGAAGGUGGGGAUGACGUCAAAUCAUCAUGCCCCUUAUGACCUGGGCUACACACGUGCUACAAUGGGAAGUACAACGAGUUGCGAAGUCGCGAGGCUAAGCUAAUCUCUUAAAGCUUCUCUCAGUUCGGAUUGCAGGCUGCAACUCGCCUGCAUGAAGCCGGAAUCGCUAGUAAUCGCGGAUCAGCACGCCGCGGUGAAUACGUUCCCGGGCCUUGUACACACCGCCCGUCACACCACGAGAGUUUGUAACCCCGAAGUCGGUGAGGUAACYUUUUUUGAGCCGCCUAGGGAG